rnacentral:lncRNA from 1 species
CACCUUUGAGCUGGGGGCACUGUGCUGAGGUAGGGCUGGGGCCUCUGAGCAGAAAACAGCCAGUGCUGACACGCACAGAGCGGGGGCACAGGGGCUGCGCCGCCAGGAAUGACGGCCACGGCAUCCGAUCACGAACACCUAUUGACACGAAGUGGAUGGAUGUUUCCUCGAAAGGUUUAUCUUUGCUCCUUUUCACUUUUCUCACUGAAACAUUCAUAUAUUUGUGCCAUCUGGUUAAUAAUGAAUUUGUUUUUUUCUAUAAAUGUGUUGCCGCCAUGUCCUGAGCGGGUGUGUGUCUGUGAAAUUCCAAGCAACAAGACCGCUGAGCCAGCAUGCCUAAUAUCUGGCACUGUUUCUCAGCUGAGCGAGAGCAAACUGUUAAGAAAGAUGCAACAUCUAAUUAGGACUUGCUUCAAAU